rnacentral:rRNA from 1 species
GAUGAACGCUAGCGAUAGGCUUAACACAUGCAAGUCGAGGGGCAGCAUGGUCUUAGCUUGCUAAGACUGAUGGCGACCGGCGCACGGGUGCGUAACGCGUAUGCAACUUGCCUCACAGAGGGGGAUAACCCGUCGAAAGACGGACUAAUACCGCGUACACUCCAUCUUGGGCAUCCAAGGUAGAGGAAAUGAAAUUCGCUGUGAGAUAGGCAUGCGUCCCAUUAGCUAGUUGGUGAGGUAACGGCUCACCAAGGCGACGAUGGGUAGGGGAACUGAGAGGUUGAACCCCCACACUGGUACUGAGACACGGACCAGACUCCUACGGGAGGCAGCAGUGAGGAAUAUUGGUCAAUGGGCGAGAGCCUGAACCAGCCAAGUCGCGUGAAGGAUGACUGUCUUAUGGAUUGUAAACUUCUUUUAUACGGGAAUAACAAGAGCCACGUGUGGCUCCCUGCAU